UCCAGUAAGAUUCAAUAUUUUGGGCACUAGUUAAUUUAAUUUGGAAUUAAAUUAGAUCAUUUUUCCUUAAGGGACGUCUUGGACCAAGUAACUGCUGCAGCGGGGGAUUUCUUCAGUAGGGGCUUGAGCACUGCAAUCUCCUUCUAGGUUAGGACCUCGUCGCUUGGAAAGCGUACUGCCUCGCGGUUAGGACUCGUCAAGUAAAUCUCCAGGUAGAGGACGGGGCAAGGGCAAGGGCAAGCUGGCGAGCGACCCGAAGUGAGACCAUGGAGGGCCAUAGGGACUACCGCUUCCGCUUAUUCUUAUUUCAGAUUUUCGCAUUUGAAUUUGAGUACUUUUCAUCACCUACCAUCUUUUAUGUAGAUAGGGCCCGAGUAGGAUUUCAGAACGCUUUUACAUUUUUGCAUGACUACCUUGUUUAAAUUUUAUAAAUAAAAUUUCUUAAACCGUAUGCGUUUUGAAUUUUUUUUUUUAUGACUUAAACCACUUGUUCUAUAUUUGGUAAUGACUUCGAUUCA